rnacentral:rRNA from 1 species
UACGGAGGGUGCAAGCGUUAUCCGGAUUUAUUGGGUUUAAAGGGUGCGUAGGCGGUUUAUUAAGUCAGUGGUGAAAGCCCGUCGCUUAACGGCGGAACUGCCAUUGAUACUGCUAGUCUUGAGUAUGGUUGAGGUGGGCGGAAUGUGUCAUGUAGCGGUGAAAUGCUUAGAUAUGACCCAGAACACCAAUUGCGAAGGCAGCUCGCUAAGCCAUAACUGACGCUGAGGCACGAAAGCGUGGGGAGCAAACAGG